GACGAACGCUGGCGGCGUGCUUAACACAUGCAAGUCGAACGGAAAGGCCCUGCUUGCAGGGUACUCGAGUGGCGAACGGGUGAGUAACACGUGGGUGAUCUGCCCUGCACUUCGGGAUAAGCUUGGGAAACUGGGUCUAAUACCGGAUAGGAGCCAUCUUUAGUGUGGUGGUUGGAAAGUUUUUUCGGUGUAGGAUGAGCUCGCGGCCUAUCAGCUUGUUGGUGGGGUAAUGGCCUACCAAGGCGGCGACGGGUAGCCGGCCUGAGAGGGUGUACGGCCACAUUGGGACUGAGAUACGGCCCAGACUCCUACGGGAGGCAGCAGUGGGGAAUAUUGCACAAUGGGCGCAAGCCUGAUGCAGCGACGCCGCGUGGGGGAUGAAGGCCUUCGGGUUGUAAACUCCUUUCGCUAGGGACGAAGCUUUUUGUGACGGUACCUAGAUAAGAAGCACCGGCUAACUACGUG
rnacentral:rRNA from 1 species